CCUACGGGAGGCAGCAGUGAGGAAUAUUGGUCAAUGGGCGCGAGCCUGAACCAGCCAAGUCGCGUGAGGGAGGACGGCCCUACGGGUUGUAAACCUCUUUUGCCGGGGAGCAACGGGCGUCACGUGUGGCGCCACUGAGAGUACCCGGAGAAAAAGCAUCGGCCAACUCCGUGCCAGCCGCCGCGGUUAUACGGAGGAUGCGAGCGUUAGCCGGAUUUAUUGGGUUUAGAGGGUGCGUAGGCGGAUUGUUAAGUCAGUGGUCAAAUUGAGGGGCUCAACCCCUUCCCGCCGUUGAAACUGGCGCUCUUGAGUGGAAGAGAGGUAUGCGGAAUGCGUGGUGUAGCGGUGAAAUGCAUAGAUAUCACGCAGAACCCCGAUUGCGAAGGCAGCAUGCCGGCUUCCGACUGACGCUGAAGCACGAAAGCGUGGGGAUCGAACAGGAUUAGAUACCCGAGUAGUC
rnacentral:rRNA from 1 species